rnacentral:rRNA from 1 species
AUUGAACGCUGGCGGCAUGCCUUACACAUGCAAGUCGAACGGCAGCACGGGUGCUUGCACCUGGUGGCGAGUGGCGAACGGGUGAGUAAUACAUCGGAACGUACCUUAUCGUGGGGGAUAACGCAGCGAAAGUUGCGCUAAUACCGCAUACGCCCUGAGGGGGAAAGCGGGGGACCGUAAGGCCUCGCGCGAUUAGAGCGGCCGAUGUCUGAUUAGCUUGUUGGUGAGGUAAAAGCUCACCAAGGCGAUGAUCAGUAGCUGGUCUGAGAGGACGAUCAGCCACACUGGGACUGAGACACGGCCCAGACUCCUACGGGAGGCAGCAGUGGGGAAUUUUGGACAAUGGGGGCAACCCUGAUCCAGCAAUGCCGCGUGAGUGAAGAAGGCCUUCGGGUUGUAAAGCUCUUUCGCAAGGGAAGAAAACUCGAUCUCUAAUAUAGGUUGAGGCUGACGGUACCUUGAUAAGAAGCACCGGCUAACUACGUGCCAGCCGCCGCCGUAA